UGACGGUACUUGACUAAGAAGCUCCGGCUAAAUACGUGCCAGCAGCCGCGGUAAUACGUAUGGAGCAAGCGUUAUCCGGAUUUACUGGGUGUAAAGGGAGCGUAGACGGCAAAGCAAGUCUGAAGUGAAAUCCCGGGGCCCAACCCCGGAACUGCUUUGGAAACUGUUUAGCUGGAGUGCAGGAGAGGUAAGCGGAAUUCCUAGUGUAGCGGUGAAAUGCGUAGAUAUUAGGAGGAACACCGGUGGCGAAGGCGGCUUACUGGACUGAAACUGACACUGAGGCACGAAAGCGUGGGGAGCAAACAGGAUUAGAUACCCUG
rnacentral:rRNA from 1 species